GUCCCCUUCGUCUAGUGGCCCAGGACAUCGCCCUUUCACGGCGGUAACAGGGGUUCGACUCCCCUAGGGGACGCCA
rnacentral:tRNA from 1 species